ACCAUACUUAGGGCCUUCGUAUUUAGAUCUCUUAUAAAUACUCAGGGGACUCAAAUGUAAUUAUGUAAUAAAUGAAGGGGCAAAUAUGUAAUAAGUGAGGAGCCCUUAUUCUAUAAAAGGACUCCUCACUCUCCUCAUUAAAGGAGGCCAAUUCUUAGGCCUGAGAUCCCCAAAGCCUCACUCUCACAUUACAGAGGCUUUCUCCCUCACAAUUCUCUCAGAGAAAUACAAUAUC
rnacentral:lncRNA from 1 species